rnacentral:rRNA from 1 species
AAAGGAAUAGACGGGGGCCCGCACAAGCAGUGGAGUAUGUGGUUUAAUUCGAAGCAACGCGAAGAACCUUACCAGGGCUUGACAUCUACAGAAUCCUAUAGAGAUAUGGGAGUGCCUUCGGGAACUGUAAGACAGGUGGUGCAUGGUUGUCGUCAGCUCGUGUCGUGAGAUGUUGGGUUAAGUCCCGCAACGAGCGCAACCCUUAUCGUUAGUUGCCAGCAAGUAAAGUUGGGCACUCUAGCGAGACUGCCGGUGACAAAUCGGAGGAAGGUGGGGACGACGUCAAAUCAUCAUGCCCCUUAUGUCCUGGGCUACACACGUACUACAAUGGCCGUUAACAGCGGGAAGCGAAGCAGCGAUGUGGAGCGAAUCCCCAAAAACGGUCCCAGUUCGGAUUGUAGGCUGCAACUCGCCUACAUGAAGUCGGAAUUGCUAGUAAUCGCGGAUCAGCAUGCCGCGGUGAAUACGUUCCCGGGCCUUGUACACACCGCCCGU